rnacentral:rRNA from 1 species
AGUUUGAUCCUGGCUCAGAACGAACGCUGGCGGCGUGUCUUAAGCAUGCAAGUCGGACGAGAACCCGGAGCUUGCUUCGGGGGACAGUGGCGCACGGGUGAGUAACACGUGGGUAAUCUACCUUCGGAUGGGGGAUAGCACUAGGAAACUAGUGGUAAUACCGCAUAACGCGCGGAUGUCGCAAGACUUCCGCGUCAAAGGCGCCCUCUGUAUAUGGUGCCGUCUGAGGAUGAGCCCGCGGCCUAUUAGCUAGUUGGCAGGGUAACGGCCUACCAAGGCAACGAUGGGUAGCCGGCCUGAGAGGGUGUUCGGCCACAUUGGGACUGAGACACGGCCCAGACUCCUACGGGAGGCAGCAGCUAAGAAUAUUCCGCAAUGGGCGAAAGCCUGACGGAGCGACGCCGCGUGGAGGAUGAAGGCCUUCGGGUUGUAAACUCCUUUUCUUGGGGAAGAAUAAAGCCGGGAGUAACUGAACGGCUGAUGACGGUACCCAGGGAAUAAGCCCCGGCUAAUUACGUGCCAGCAGCCGCGGUAAUACGUAUGGGGCGAGCGUUGUUCGGAUUUACUGGGCGUAAAGGGCUUGUAGGUGGUGAGAAAAGUCGGAUGUGAAAUCCCCGGGCUUAACCCGGGAACUGCAUUCGAAACUAUCUCGCUAGAGUACCGGAGAGGGAAACGGAAUUCCUGGUGUAGGGGUGAAAUCUGUAGAUAUCACGAAGAACACCGGUGGCGAAGGCGGUUUCCUGGCCGGAUACUGACACUGAGGAGCGAAAGCUAGGGGAGCAAACAGGAUUAGAUACCCUGGUAGUCCUAGCUGUAAACGUUGUGCACUAAGUGUAAGUGGUUUACCCACCUUGUGCCGCAGCUACCGCAUUAAGUGCACCGCCUGGGGGAGUAUGCUCGCCACGGGUGAACUCAAAGAAUG